rnacentral:rRNA from 1 species
GAUGAACGCUAACUACAGGCUUAACACAUGCAAGUCGAGGGGAAACGACAUCGAAAGCUUGCUUUUGAUGGGCGUCGACCGGCGCACGGGUGAGUAACGCGUAUCCAACCUGCCCACCACUUGGGGAUAACCUUGCGAAAGUAAGACUAAUACCCAAUGAUAUCUCUAGAAGACAUCUGAAAGAGAUUAAAGAUUUAUCGGUGAUGGAUGGGGAUGCGUCUGAUUAGCUUGUUGGCGGGGUAACGGCCUACCAAGGCGACGAUCAGUAGGGGUUCUGAGAGGAAGGUCCCCCACAUUGGAACUGAGACACGGUCCAAACUCCUACGGGAGGCAACAGUGAGGAAUAUUGGUCAAUGGGCGAGAGCCUGAACCAGCCAAGUAGCGUGCAGGAUGACGGCCCUAUGGGUUGUAAACUGCUUUUAUAAGGGAAUAAAGUGAGCCUCGUGAGGCUUUUUGCAUGUACCUUAUGAAUAAGGACCGGCUAAUUCCGUGCCAGCCGCCGCCGUAA